UUUACAUUCGUCUCUCGUCUUCUGAUUUCGGUAAGAAGAAGGAUAAGAAGGUGUAUAUCAUUAUUCCGGUGGUGGUUGGUUUAGCGUGCAUAUCGGCUAUGAUCUUUGUUGCUUGGUGUUGGAUGGUGAAGAGAAAAGGACAAAAACCAGAACACAAAAAGGUGUUCCAAGCAGAGCAAACAUUUCCAUCAGAUUCAACUGCAAUAGUACUGAAGCAGGAAUCAGAGGUGGACAG